GCGAGCAUGCGAUUAGUGUCCGGCGUGUGAGAUUGGUAGCAACUGACUCAGAGCCUCUAGAUCAUCUCGCGUGAGGCAACACAGGUGGAGGUCGAGUCUCUCCAGGUGUGUGACGUGAGCCAGGUGAAAGGCAUGUCUGAAAAGACAUCAGAUAACUUUUUCCAUCGCUUUGAAGAUUUGAUUCAGAGAAAGCGCACAGGUGGAGAUGCAGACACAUUGCAUAUCGCACAGAGACCCAGAGAUUAUGCUGUGCAACUCCCACCUUUACCUGAGCAAUGCGCAGGCUCUCCACAGAGAGUCCAGAGAAGCUGGAACUGUUUGGAUGACCCCUUUUGGAAUCAGGAGGACCCUGAAAGAAGUCUGAGUAGCCUCAGCUCUGCAGACACACACACACCAAGUGAUCUGAGGGCCAUUCCUUUCAUUGUUAGUCCUGUUGAGAUGACACCGCUCACUCCAGUUCCUCCACCUCCUCGAGCAGCUUGUCCAUCGCAAUUGCCUGUUUUCUCUGCUAAACAUUCAGGAGCAGGUCGGUUCAAAGACACGAAGGUCAUUCGUGGAAUAAGAGUCUUGACAGCAAAAGACAAAUUUGGGCCUAUUUUGGAAAAACUGCAGCAUUUCCAGGAUGGGAUUGUAACCUCACCUGGACACACAGUACCAACCAAAACAUUUACUGCAGUAAAGCCUUUGACUCCAAAACCUCCAACAGUUCCCUCCCAUACCGCAAA